rnacentral:rRNA from 1 species
UACGUAGGGGGCAAGCGUUGUCCGGAUUUAUUGGGCGUAAAGGGCGCGUAGGCGGUUUCUUAAGUUUGGAGUGACAGUGGGUGGCUUAACUACCCAAGGCCUCUGAAAACUGGGGAACUUGAGGACCAGAGAGGGACAUAGAAUUCCGGGUGGAGUGGUGAAAUGCGUAGAUAUCCGGAGGAAUACCAAAGGCGAAGGCAGUGUCCUGGAGGGUGACUGACGCUGAGGCGCGAAAGCUAGGGGAGCAAACGGG